UACGUAGGGGGCAAGCGUUGUCCGGAUUCAUUGGGCGUAAAGAGCUCGUAGGCGGCUUGGCAAGUCGGGUGUGAAAACUCCAGGCUCAACCUGGAGACGCCACCCGAUACUGCUAUGGCUUGAGUCCGGUAGGGGACCACGGAAUUCCUGGUGUAGCGGUGAAAUGCGCAGAUAUCAGGAGGAACACCAAUGGCGAAGGCAGCUCGCUGGAACGGUACUGACGCUGAGGCGCGAAAGCGUGGGGAGCGAACAGG
rnacentral:rRNA from 1 species